AGCUUGCUGAAUCCGUCCCGAGAUUUCAUCAGAAACUAAUCCACCAUAAGUGAUGAGAUCCCCAAGAUAAGUGAAGUU
rnacentral:pre_miRNA from 1 species